rnacentral:misc_RNA from 1 species
GCGCCAAGGAACAAAAAAUGGAUUGUGCCUAUUUGUGCUCGGUUACCGAAGCAGGGAUGUGGCACUCGGUAUUAUAUAUUAAACGACUCUCGGCAACGGAUAUCUCGGCUCUCGCAUCGAUGAAGAACGUAGCGAAAUGCGAUACUUGGUGUGAAUUGCAGAAUCCCGUGAACCAUCGAGUCUUUGAACGCAAGUUGCGCCCAAAGCCUUCGGGCCGAGGGCACGUCUGCCUGGGCGUCACGCAUCGCGUCUCCCCCACCCCACAUUGUGGGAAGGGGAGGAAGAUGGCCUCCUGUGCCUAACCAGGCAUGGAUGGCCUAAAUGAGGAGCCCAUGGCCUUGAGCUGCAUCGGCGUUUGGUGGUACACAAGGCUAUGCCUAGGUUGCAUCGCGUCGCGCAGCAUUUGGCUAUUGGACUCGUAGGACCCUAACAUGUGCCUUGAGUGACAAAC